UACGUAGGGGGCAAGCGUUGUCCGGAAUCAUUGGGUGUAAAGCGCGUGUAGGCGGCUUCGUAAGUCCGUUGUGAAAGUCCAGGGCUCAACCCUGGAAUGCCGAUGGAUACUGCGGAGCUAGAGUCCGGAAGAGGCGAGUGGAAUUCCUGGUGUAGCGGUGAAAUGCGCAGAUAUCAGGAGGAACACCAAUGGCGAAGGCAGCUCGCUGGGACGGUACUGACGCUGAGACGCGAAAGCGUGGGGAGCAAACAGG
rnacentral:rRNA from 1 species